AAGUGACAAUUUAAGUUUCCAAGGAUUGACAACAGAAAGGUUCAGAGUACAGCGACGUGUUAAAGUGAGCUGAAAAAGGACAAAAAUGUACUCUGAUUACUACAAUAAUAAAGACCCCAGUGAACAUUACCACAGUACCGCCAACGACCUUCCUAAUGAUCCUGUUAAUAUUCCAAAAACUUUUCUCGUGCUUUGUAGCUACAGAGUAUCUCUUUCUCUAUAUCUCCCUUUUUUAAAUGUAAAAGAUGUUUUGCAAAGCGAGCUGAUCCGUGAAGAUCUCAGACCGACCCCGCCGUCUUGUUAUAAUGCUCUGAACUGUGCCCCGCCCCUUCUCCUUUUACCGUUUUGCCUGUUUCCCUGCAUUAGAUCCGUGUCCUCACUUUAGCCUGACUCAGAACAAUUAAAUAUAAUAUUAUAACAAUAUCUAUUUUUUAUUAUUUCAGAAGAAAAAAAACAAACAAACACUUUUGGGGGAGAGCACGUUUCUCGCUGCGUCCGCUAGUUAGGGACGCCGCAUGUUCACACAUCUACGCUGUAUAAAGUCAUGCUCUUUUCUUCUUCUUCUCUGUCUCUUUUCAGUUUAACCCACUCCUUCCAGGUCUACAAUGAAAAGCACAGUUUCUCACAUGCACACUUGCUCGCACUCACACACACACACAAUAAGUAGAUCUGUUAUCUCUUCAUGUGUUAGCCCUCGUCCAUCUCUCUAUAUUGACUUCUUGAUUUCUAGUUUUUAAAAAAGAAAACAACCGUGUAUAAUGACAUGAGAAAGCAUUUUUUCCUCUCAUUUUGUUCCCGUUUCCGUCAUAUUUUUUAUGUUUUGUUCUUUACCCAGUGAAUGCUUUUUUCUGUGCAGCUUUCUCUCUCUCUCUCUCUCUCUCUCUCUCUCUCUCCCUCUACUCUUCUUUAGUGAAUGGUUGUUAUUUCAUGUGGGAUGUCCGUGCUGGAAAAACCAAUCGAAUGUAGUGUUUACAUUAAAAAGCCACUGUUUUCAUGACUACGAAAAAACAAAA
ensembl:lncRNA